UUAUACAUUCCCUAUUUCUUUUAUAAUUAUUUUUAUUUUUAAGAAACGUAUCGCGAACGUUGUGUAUGAUAUGUUCCUUUCGCUGAUAUAAUUUAUAUGUAUAAUCUUGAAUGUUCCUCAUUUAUUUAAUCACGAUAUUUAAAUAAAUGUGCAAAACACUGCAAAGCUAUAACAAUAUUUUGUAAUUACCCGUUAUACACAAUAUACAUAAACAAUAAUCACAAAGAUAUAUUGAUAAAUAUUCUGAAAACGAGAAAGUAACCUUAUCCUUGUAUCUAAACUAAACUUCUAUAACUAUUAUGACUAAUAUAUCUAAAUUAAGAACACAUUCGUUAAUAUCAAAAAGUAGGCAAUUUUCGAAUGGAUCUCGUUUGGCAGAACCGGGAAGAUUAUAUAUAUGU
rnacentral:misc_RNA from 1 species